UAUUGCACAAUGGGCGCAAGCCUGAUGCAGCGACGCCGCGUGAGGGAUGACGGCCUUCGGGUUGUAAACCUCUUUCUGUAGGGACGAAGCGAAAGUGACGGUACCUACAGAAGAAGGACCGGCCAACUACGUGCCAGCAGCCGCGGUAAUACGUAGGGUGCGAGCGUUGUCCGGAAUUACUGGGCGUAAAGAGCUCGUAGGUGGUUUGUCGCGUUGUUCGUGAAAACUCACAGCUUAACUGUGGGCGUGCGGGCGAUACGGGCAGACUAGAGUACUGCAGGGGAGACUGGAAUUCCUGGUGUAGCGGUGGAAUGCGCAGAUAUCAGGAGGAACACCGGUGGCGAAGGCGGGUCUCUGGGCCGUAACUGACGCUGAGGAGCGAAAGCGUGGGUAGCGAACAGGAUUAGAUACCCUGGUAGUCCACGCCGUAAACGGUGGGUACUAGGUGUGGGUUUCCUUCCUUGGGAUCCGUGCCGUAGCUAACG
rnacentral:rRNA from 1 species